AUUGAACGCUGGCGGCAUGCCUUACACAUGCAAGUCGAACGGCAGCACGGGGCAACCUGGUGGCGAGUGGCGAACGGGUGAGUAAUGCAUCGGAACGUACCUUUCAGUGGGGGAUAACGUAGCGAAAGUUACGCUAAUACCGCAUAUUCUGUGAGCAGGAAAGCAGGGGAUCGCAAGACCUUGCGCUGAUUGAGCGGCCGAUGUCAGAUUAGCUAGUUGGUGAGGUAAAGGCUAACCAAGGCUACGAUCUGUAGCGGGUCUGAGAGGAUGAUCCGCCACACGUGGACUUAGAAACGGUCCAGAAUCCUACGGGAGGCAGCAGUGGGGAAUUUUGAACAAUGGGGGCAACCCUGAUCCAGCCAUGCCGCGUGAGUGAAGAAGGCCUUCGGGUUGUAAAGCUCUUUCGGCCGGGAAGAAAUCGCACGGGCUAAUACCCUGUGUGGAUGACGGUACCGGAAUAAGAAGCACCGGCUAACUACGUGCCAGCCGCCGCAGUAAGAC
rnacentral:rRNA from 1 species